rnacentral:rRNA from 1 species
CGCGUAGGGGCGAGCGUUGUCCGGAUUUAUUGGGCGUAAAGAGCUCGUAGGCGGCUCAGUAAGUCAGGUGUGAAAACUCCAGGCUCAACCUGGAGACGCCACUUGAUACUGCUGUGGCUAGAGUCCGGUAGGGGAGCAUGGAAUUCCUGGUGUAGCGGUGAAAUGCGCAGAUAUCAGGAGGAACACCGAUGGCGAAGGCAGCUCGCUGGGACGGUACUGACGCU